GAGUAACGCGUAUGCCAACCUACUAUCAGGAGGGAACGUACCGGCGAAAGUCGGACUAAUACCGCAUAAAACAGGGGCACCGCAUGGUGAUAUUUGUUAAAGAGAUUCGCUGAUAGAUGGGGCAUGCGUUCCAUUAGGUAGUUGGUGAGGUAACGGCUCACCAAGCCGACGAUGGAUAGGGGAACUGAGAGGUUGGUCCCCCACACUGGUACUGAGACACGGACCAGACUCCUACGGGAGGCAGCAGUGAGGAAUAUUGGUCAAUGGGCGGGAGCCUGAACCAGCCAAGUCCGCGUGAAGGAAGAAGGAUCUAUGGUUCGUAAACUUCUUUUGCAGGGGAAUAAAGUGCAGGACGUGUCCUGUUUUGUAUGUACCCUGAGAAUAAGGAUCGGCUAACUCCGUGCCAGCCGCGGC
rnacentral:rRNA from 1 species